GACUCAUGGCUCAGUGGUAGAGCAUCGGCACCGCAUGCUGAAGGUUUAGGGUUCAAUUCCCAAAAAGAGUCU
rnacentral:tRNA from 1 species